rnacentral:rRNA from 1 species
UACGGGGGGGGCAAGCGUUGUCCGGAAUUAUUGGGCGUAAAGGGCGCGUAGGCGGAAUGGUAAGUCAGGGGUGAAAUUCUCGUGCUUAACACGGGAACUGCCUUUGAUACUGUCGUUCUUGAGUACGGAAGAGGGAAGCGGAAUUCCCGGUGUAGCGGUGAAAUGCGUAGAUAUCGGGAAGAACACCGGUAGCGUAAGCGGCUUCCUGGUCCGUUACUGACGCUGAGGCGCGAAAGUGUGGGGAGCAAAC